rnacentral:sRNA from 4 species
AUAUCUCUCUGUACGGGAAGGAUGAGAAGCUUCGACCAAGGGUCGAUUCGAGCGUCAGCGAGAAAGCGUUGCCGCAGGCAACGACCCGAAGGGCGAAGCGCGCAGCGCUGAGUCAUCCUUCCCCCACCACCA